rnacentral:misc_RNA from 1 species
AACGCACGAGACCUGCGGACCUGCGGAAGGAUCAUUAGUGAACGCCCUCACGGGCUUAUAACUAUUCCAAACCUCUGUGAACCGUGCCCUUCGGGGCUAUUUUACGAACAUGGUGUAAUGAACGUCAUAUAUCAUAACAAAACAAAACUUUCAACAACGGAUCUCU